CAGUCGCCGCGGGAAUACGUAGGUGGCAAGCGUUGUCCGGAAUUAUUGGGCGUAAAGGGCUCGCAGGCGGUUUCUUAAGUCUGAUGUGAAAGCCCCCGGCUCAACCGGGGAGGGUCACUGGAAACUGGGAAACUUGAGUGCAGAAGAGGAGAGUGGAAUUCCACGUGUAGCGGUGAAAUGCGUAGAGAUGUGGAGGAACACCAGUGGCGAAGGCGACUCUCUGGUCUGUAACUGACGCUGAGGAGCGAAAGCGUGGGGAGCGAACAGGAUUAGAUACCCGAGUAGUCCCUGUCUCUUAUAC
rnacentral:rRNA from 1 species